AGAGUUUGAUCCUGGCUCAGAACGAACGCUGGCAGCGUGCUUAACACAUGCAAGUCGAACGGGAUCCAGAGCUUGCUCUGGUGAGAGUGGCGCACGGGUGAGUAACGCGUGGAUAACCUGCCCUGGUAUCUGGAAUAACAUCUCGAAAGGGGUGCUAAUACCGGAUAAGCCCACGGGGUCUUCGGACUCUGCGGGAAAAGGUGGCCUCUGAAUAUGCUACCGUAUCAGGAUGGGUCCGCGUACCAUUAGCUAGUUGGUAGGGUAAUGGCCUACCAAGGCUACGAUGGUUAGCUGGUCUGAGAGGAUGAUCAGCCACACUGGAACUGAGACACGGUCCAGACUCCUACGGGAGGCAGCAGUGGGGAAUUUUGCGCAAUGGGGGAAACCCUGACGCAGCAACGCCGCGUGAGUGAUGAAGGCUUUCGGGUCGUAAAGCUCUGUCAGUAGGGAAGAAGUGUAAGGGUGCUAAUACCAUCUUUACUUGACGGUACCUACAAAGGAAGCACCGGCUAACUCCGUGCCAGCAGCCGCGGUAAUACGGAGGGUGCAAGCGUUGUUCGGAUUUAUUGGGCGUAAAGCGCGUGUAGGCGGUUUCUUAAGUCUGAUGUGAAAGCCCUGGGCUCAACCCAGGAAGUGCAUUGGAUACUGGGAGACUUGAAUACGGGAGAGGGUAGUGGAAUUCCUAGUGUAGGAGUGAAAUCCGUAGAUAUUAGGAGGAACACCGGUGGCGAAGGCGGCUACCUGGACCGAUAUUGACGCUGAGACGCUAAAGCGUGGGGAGCAAACAGGAUUAGAUACCCUGGUAGUCCACGCCGUAAACGAUGAGAACUAGGUGUUGCGGGUAUUGACCCCUGCAGUGCCGCAGCUAACGCAUUAAGUUCUCCGCCUGGGAAGUACGGUCGCAAGACUAAAACUCAAAUGAAUUGACGG
rnacentral:rRNA from 1 species